rnacentral:rRNA from 1 species
AACGUAGGAGACGAACGUUAUCCGGGGUUACUGGGCGUAAAGGGCGUGUAGGCGGUUUGUUAAGUCUGGCGUGAAAGCUCUCGGCUAAACCGGGAGAGGUCGUUGGAUACUGGCGAACUAGAGGAUGGUAGAGGCGUGUGGAAUUCCGGGUGUAGUGGUGAAAUGCGUAGAGAUCCGGAGGAACACCAGUGGCGAAGGCGACACGCUGGGCCAUACCUGACGCUAAAGCGCGACAGCAUGGGGAGCAAACGGG